GCCGGGCGCGGUGGCGCGUGCCUGUAGUCCCAGCUACUCGGGAGGCUGAGGUGGGAGGAUCGCUUGAGCCCAGGAGUUCUGGGCUGUAGUGCGCUAUGCCGAUCGGGUGUCCGCACUAAGUUCGGCAUCAAUAUGGUGACCUCCCGGGAGCGGGGGACCACCAGGUUGCCUAAGGAGGGGUGAACCGGCCCAGGUCGGAAACGGAGCAGGUCAAAACUCCCGUGCUGAUCAGUAGUGGGAUCGCGCCUGUGAAUAGCCACUGCACUCCAGCCUGGGCAACAUAGCGAGACCCUGUCUCUU
ensembl:misc_RNA Metazoa_SRP Metazoan signal recognition particle RNA